rnacentral:rRNA from 1 species
AGCGAACGCUGGCGGCAGGCCUAACACAUGCAAGUCGAACGAACCCUUCGGGGUUAGUGGCGGACGGGUGAGUAACACGUGGGAACGUGCCUUUAGGUUCGGAAUAACUCAGGGAAACUUGUGCUAAUACCGAAUGUGCCCUUCGGGGGAAAGAUUUAUCGCCGUUAGAGCGGCCCGCGUCUGAUUAGCUAGUUGGUGAGGUAAUGGCUCACCAAGGCUACGAUAAGUAGCUGGUCUGAGAGGAUGACCAGCCACAUUGGGACUGAGACACGGCCCAAACUCCUGCGGGAGGCAGCAGUGGGGAAUCUUGCGAAAUGGGCGAAAGCUUGACGCAGCCAUGCCGCGUGAAUGAUGAAGGUCUUAGAAUUGUAAAAUCCUUUCACCGGUGAAGAUAAUGACUGUAGCCGGAGAAGAAGCCCCGGCUAACUUCGUGCCAGCCGCCGCCGUAAGAC